rnacentral:tRNA from 2 species
GCCUGGCUAGCUCAAUCGGUAGAGCGUGAGACUCUUAUUCAAAGCGAUCUCAAGGCUGUGGGUUCAAGCCCCACGUCGGGCU